rnacentral:rRNA from 1 species
UACAGAGGGUGCAAGCGUUGUUCGGAAUUAUUGGGCGUAAAGCGCGUGUAGGCGGCUUUGCAAGUCGGGUGUGAAAGCCCUCGGCUCAACCGAGGAAGUGCGCCCGAAACUGCAGAGCUUGAGUGCCGGAGAGGAUGGCGGAAUUCCCCAAGUAGAGGUGAAAUUCGUAGAUAUGGGGAGGAACACCGGUGGCGAAGGCGGCAUCCUGGACUGGUCCUGACACUCAGGAGCGAAAGCGUGGGGAGCGAGUCCGG